CUCUUUUUCUUUCUCUCUCUCUCUCUCUCUCUCUCUCUCUCUCUCUCUCUCUCUCUUUUUCUUUCUCUUCCAUAGCCCCAAUUCUUCACUCACCUCACUACCCUCUUUGUUGCAUCAUCAACACAACACUCUCUUCAAUGUGCUUUCUUCAUCAAGGCAUGAUCAAUAGGUGAAGAUGAUGAUAGUGCAUCCUCGUGACCAAGUGGGUGGAGACACACGCAAGGAUUUGGUGCCUGCUGCAACUUCUUCUUCAAAACCAAGAAACUGUGCAUGCAUGAAACAUGGCUAGUUACCUACAAAGCACGCUGCAGAAAUUAAUGAUGUCACGUGAAACUACGGAUGAAGAAGAAAACUUAUAUGCAUAGAUUUUUAUUAUCUAGGAAGAAAAGUAAUGUAGGAUGUUAUUAAUGUUGUGUUUGGGGGGAUGUAUUUGACUAUUUUGUUUCCUUUUAUUAAGUCUUGUUAAAUUGGUAGUUUUGUUGAGAUAAUAUAUAAAGCAAUGUAUAUAAUAUGAGAAGGAGAUUGUGGAAUUUUCUGCCCUUUAGUCAAUACCAACCAUAAUUAAGCCCAAA